GGAGGGGUGCAAGCGUUGUUCGGAAUUACUGGGCGUAAAGCGCGUGUAGGGCGGCCUCUUAUGUCAGGGUGUGAAAGCCCUGGGCCCAACCCAGGAAGUGCGCCUGAAACUGAGAGGCUUGAGUACGAGAGAGGAGGACGGAAUUCCCAGUGUAGAGGUGAAAUUCGUAGAUAUUGGGAAGAACACCGGUGGCGAAAGCGGUUCUCUAGAUCGAUACUGACGCUAAGACGCGAAAGCGUGGGGAGCAAACAGGAUUAGAUACCCUGGUAGUCCACGCCGUAAACGAUGGAUACUAGUUGUUGCGAGCUUUAAACUCGCAGUGACGACGCUAACGCAUUAAGUAUCCCGCCUGGGAAGUACGGCCGCAAGGUUA
rnacentral:rRNA from 1 species